rnacentral:tRNA from 1 species
AACUCCAUCGUAUAGUGGUUAUCAUGUCUGCUUUUCACACAGAAGGUCCUGGGUUCACACCCCAAGUGGAGCCA